GAUCCUGGCUCAGGACGAACGCUGGCGGCGUGCCUAACACAUGCAAGUCGAACGGAGAAUUUUAUUUCGGUAGAAUUCUUAGUGGCGAACGGGUGAGUAACGCGUAGGCAACCUGCCCUUUAGACGGGGACAACAUUCCGAAAGGAGUGCUAAUACCGGAUGUGAUCAUCUUGCCGCAUGGCAGGAUGAAGAAAGAUGGCCUCUACAAGUAAGCUAUCGCUAAAGGAUGGGCCUGCCGU
rnacentral:rRNA from 1 species